CGCUGUCCCGUCCGCCGCCGGCUUCUGCGCUCCCCCCGCCGCCACCCUUCCGCCGAGAUAUGCCUGCCUUCUCUUCUACGCCUCGCGCCGGAUCUGGAUCCGGCGGAAAGCAGGGAGGGGCGGCGGAGCGGCCUCGCAGCGGCUCGCAAAAUAGAAGCCGCCGUCUCCCUCGCUCCAUCCCCCGCCGCCGCCGUCUUCCUUGCUCCAUCCCCCGCCACCCCCACCGCUCGACAAAGCUACCAUCCUCACUCCAUCCCCACCCUUCAGCGCUCGGCCGAAGUCGCCUCCCCUCGCUCUGUUCCACCACCGGCAUUCCAUCCCCAUCCACUCAUUGCAGCUCGAUUCCAUCUAGCCUAACGGCGGCGGCGGCAGACGUAGAGAGCACGUGGUAGUGCGCCUCGACGGCGGCGGUAGAGGACGGCUGGGCGGCACGCGACGCCAUGAGGCAGCUCGGGCCUCACCUAUGCCGGCGUCUACUCCAUGCCGCUCAGGUUGGAGAUCAAGUUGAGUCUUCCGUACAUUGCCAUGGCGUUGUCUCGCUGUUGAGGCGUCCGAAGCCUCCAUCCCGGCGCCCAACUGGAGUUCAAAGGGUGCCUUUUCCAAAGGAGAGGAAAGAAAAAGCAGUUGGGGGAGGAUUAGGGAGAAUUGAAUUCUAGGAGGGUUGGGGAAACCCUAGCCGCCGCCGGAAUUUGGGGGCCAAAUCCGGCGCCUGCCGGGCCAGACCUCCAGCAGCCUUCCCUCACCUCCAGCACUCCACCAAGGAAGGAAAGCUGGUGCAAGAUUUUUCAAGAAUCAAGGCUUCUCAGUUGCUCAGUUUUGGCAACUUUAGAUUACAUCAAGGUUACUCAGCUGGAACCGUACGGGGACAUCUUGAUCUCCAGGGGAAGCGUACUGGUGCUGCAAUGUUGCGAACAGUUUUGCUGCGGAGGUUCUUGCAGUGCCCACAUCCGUGUUAAUAUUAUACAGCAGUUACAUUUUGCACAAGAGGUCUUGUAGGUUAUAUUAUUAUUGCUUAUGCUGAAGAGAAGGAAAGGAAGCAAAGUUAUAAGGCAGUAGAUUUGUGCAGGAAUGUUCUAAGCUAUGUUGAUAGGAAGCUGUAGGCUGACCGCCCAAGGAAGUUACAGGAUUACGAGCUAGCCGGCGGUCGGCGACGAAGACCAACGUGCGAUGCGGAAGAGGCGAUUUGCGUCCGGGGUGUAUAGCCAGUUGUUCCGUGGGAUCUACAAGGAGCAACCUGUUGCUGUGAAAUUUAUCAGGCAGCCUGAUGAUGGUGAGGAUGAAGAGUUGUCUGCUCGGCUUGAGAAGCAGUUCACUGCAGAGGUUACCAUUCUGGCAAGGCUCCAGCAUCGAAAUGUCAUCAAGUUAUUCUUGCCUGCCUAUUCAUGGAUCAACAAUCCAAUAUGAACAUAUAUACUAGGACUUGCCCUUUUUUGCGGAAAGAUAGGACUUGCCCCUUUUUUUUAUGGUUGUUGGGUAGUAUGAGGCCCGCCUGAAAUAAUUAACAGGCGUCAACAUGCAUCAGCAUUACAUUGCAGAGUUUUGGCACAUAUUUAGGACUGCAAUCGUGUGGGCCAUAACUAU